CCAAGAAAAUACAAGAAAAAGAAAAUUGCUUGCAUAUUUCACUUAGCAUUGAUAAUCACAAGUCUAAUAAAUAGAUUAGAAAAAAGAAAAUGCAGGGAAGAAAAUUAAAAUUAACAAUCCUAACAGCAAACAGAAGCAUCUGCCAUGCAUUCAACCAAUAUAAUGUGGUUAAUCCUCUCCAUACAAUUAGUACUCAAACUUUGCUUAUUUUCCUUCAUUUUCUUUCCUAAUCUUGAUCAACUUUUAAUUUCCUCCUCCCUUUCUUCGUCAUUAUUAAUGAUUAGCGAGUGUAGUAGAACUCAGCAAGCUCCUCCAUGGACCCCAACUGAGAGCCACCGCUCUCAAGCAUCCACAACAAGUGCUCAAACAACACCACCUCACAAGCAAUCACUACUUCUCCUCCAUCAUCGAACCCACCAGACCUCUCUAUCAAUUCUUGAAAAAGAGGGUGGCAAAUGGUGUCGGAGCUCAGAAGAUAUCGACGCCGUGACUUCCCCACAUAAACAGCUUGAAGUUCCUUUGCAAGAAUCUUAUCCUCCGAGCAAUGAUCAUUACCAGCUGCUGCAAUGGAGCUGUUUGUGCGAGCUAGCUUGGUGAAAGAUGGCCAUCUCUUUAUAGCUGAUUUGAGCUUGGUUAGCGUCCCAGUCUUUGCCAUGUUUAUUUGAGUUUGGAGAGAAAGAAAGAGAUUAUCUGAGAGGAAUUUGGUUGGG
rnacentral:misc_RNA from 1 species